rnacentral:lncRNA from 1 species
UUAAUUUAUUCUAUUGGGCUUUUAUAAUUAAGUCGUGGGGCUUGUUGGGCCCAGUCAUUGUGUUAGCUUUAUUUAAAUCCUAUAGGACCGGGUCGGUUCGUUGGAUUAACCCAUUGGGUCACUUAAUAUCUAUUACUUUGACUUGUAAUGAUGAUAUAGCAUGACAGUUGACCGAGAUAUCUGCCAUGCAUUAAUGUGGAUGGGAUUAUAGCCGGCCGGCGGUAGAAAACAGUGGCCAAAAGCAGUGGAUAAGUUCCAUGCAGUCGGCAGAACCCAUCAGAUCAGAGGGGGUGUCAGGUAGUAGUGGGUGGCACAGUAAUCCAAGUAAAGAUAGUAUAACCUAGCAAGGAAGCCAUCGUCUAGAGGUACGUUCUCACACAUAUUGAUUUUUCAGAUUCUCCCAUAUACACA